rnacentral:rRNA from 1 species
GGGAGUGGCACACUGCUCAGUAACACGUAGCUAACCUACCCUUAGGACGUGGAUACCCCCGAGAAAUUGGGGUUAAUCCGCGAUAGAUGUAAUGUCCUGGAAUGGUAUUACGUCUAAAGGUAUUUCAUACAUGUUUGAAAUAUGCCUAAGGAUGGGGCUGCGGCCGAUCAGGCUGUUGGUGAGGUAAUGGCUCACCAAACCUUUGACCGGUACGGGCCAUGAGAGUGGUAGCCCGGAGAUGGACACUGAGACAAGGGUCCAGGCCCUAAGGGGCGCAGCAACCGCGAAACCUCCACAAUGCACUCACGUGCGAUGGGGCUAUCUCGAGUGCCACCUGAUGAAGGUGGCUUUUCCUUGGUCUUCAAAGCCUUGGGAAUAAGAGGGGGGCAAGACUGGUGUCAGCCGCCGCGGUAACACCAGCCCCUCGAGUGGUGGGGAUGAUUAUUUGGCCUAAAGCGUCCGUAGCCGGCCGUGAAAGUCUUCCGUUAAAUCCAGCGUCUCAAGCGUUGGACCGCGGGAGAUACUACAUGGCUAGAGAGUGGGAGAGGUCAGCGGUAUUCUGGGGGUAGGGGCGAAAUCCUUUGAUCCCCGGAGGACCACCAGUGGCGAAGGCUGCUGACUAGAACACGUCUGACGGUCAGGGACGAAAGCUGGGGUAGCGAACCGGAUUAGAUACCCGGGUAGUCCCAGCCGUAAACGAUGCAUGCUAGGUGUUGGGUUGGCCACGAGCCACCCCAGUGCCGCAGGGAAGCCGUUAAGCAUGCCGCCUGGGAAGUACGAUCGCAAGAUUGAAACUUAAAGGAAUUGGCGGGGGAGCACCACCAGGCGUGAAGCCUGCGGUUUAAUUGGAUUCAACGCCGGG